GGUGUAGGUGGUUUUGUAAGUCAGAAGUGAAAGCCCUGGGCUCAACCUAGGAAGUGCUUUUGAUACUGCAAUACUUGAGUGUGGGAGAGGUUAGUAGAAUUCCAGGUGUAGUGGUGAAAUACGUAGAUAUCUGGAGGAAUACCGGUGAGGAAGCUGGCUAACUGGCCCAACACUGACACUCAGACCCGAAAGCGUGGGGAGCAAACAGGAUUAGAUACCCUGGUAGUC
rnacentral:rRNA from 1 species